UUGUAAAAAAAAUUAAAAUUACUAUUACUAUUGAUGUUGUUGUUGUGGUAGCACAACUCAAUUAUAAUAAUGACAAAAAUAUUGAUUCAUCAUUAUAGGCCAUAUGGGUUCACUACUGUUCUUUAACCACCCUAAUUUUAUUGAUGGAAACCUCUUGCAGAUUUGUAUAAAAUUAGGGGGAAAAAGAGAAAGGAAGGGUCUGCUAGUGAAAGCCCAAAUGAAAGACUAUCAUAGAAUAAGAAUCACGAAAUACAUACUGCUUCUCUUAUUCAUGUUUCAGGCUAGCCAUAUUGCUUGGACAUGCAUGCAAUAUAUGAGCCUGAGAAUGUUCAGGUUAAUUACAAAUGGAAGAGCGAAGAAAGUCCGGGGAAAAUUAACGGGCAGUUUUAACACGGAGGCAUGUCUGGCGGUGGAGGAAGUAGACGGUCCUCU
rnacentral:lncRNA from 1 species